rnacentral:rRNA from 1 species
GUGAGGAAUAUUGCGCAAUGGAGGCAACUCUGACGCAGCCAUGCCGCGUGCAGGAAGAAGGCGCUACGCGUUGUAAACUGCUCUUAACCGGGAAGAAACCCCAGGACGUGUCCUGGGUUGACGGUACCGGAGCAAUAAGCCCCCGCUAACUUCGUGCCAGCAGCCGCGGUAAUACGAAGGGUGCAAGCGUUAUCCGGAUUCAUUGGGUUUAAAGGGUGCGUAGGCGGAGCGUUAAGUCAGUGGUGAAAUCCUGCAGCUUAACUGUAGACUGGCCAUUGAUACUGGCGCUCUUGAGUGCGCUUGAAGUGGGCGGAAUGGGGCGUGUGGCGCUGGAAUGCUUAGAGAAGGCACAGAACACCAAGUGGGAAGGCAGCUCACUAAGGCGAUACUGGCGCUGAGGCACGAAAGCGUGGGGAUCGAACAGGAUUAGAAACCCGUGUACUCC